UCAAAUUAUAUGCUUAUAAAC
rnacentral:piRNA from 1 species